GAAAUAAACCUGAUGGGUUGUUGCUGGUUCUCUAGAGAGCAUGUGCACGCCUUGUCAUCUUUAUAUCUCCACCUGUGCACUCUUUGUAGACCUUUCAGGUCUAUGUUGCCUCUUCAUUUACCCCAAUGUAUGUUAAUAGAAUGUCGUGCCUAUGAAAAAUCUAUACAACUUUCAGCAACGGAUCUCUUGGCUCU
rnacentral:misc_RNA from 1 species